UACGUAGGUGGCAAGCGUUGUCCGGAAUUAUUGGGCGUAAAGCGCGCGCAGGUGGUUUCUUAAGUCUGAUGUGAAAGCCCACGGCUCAACCGUGGAGGGUCAUUGGAAACUGGGGAACUUGAGUGCAGGAGAGAAGAGUGGAAUUCCACGUGUAGCGGUGAAAUGCGUAGAUAUCGUAAGGAAGACCAGUGGCGAAGGCGAGUCUCUGGACAGCAACUGACGCUGAGGCACGAAGGCCAGGGGAGCAAACGGG
rnacentral:rRNA from 1 species